UCUACAAUGAUGAUGUCAAAGGAAGCCUGAUGGUGUGUCACUGUCACAGAAGUGGCAGAAUUGGGUUCUCAGUUCAGUCUAUCUGCAGGCAGGAUUUCUGUGCUCUCUCUGUGGUUUCAAAGGUGUCUCAACUUUGCCUAGGUGGCAACAGGGGCCUCACCAGGAGGACGGCAAGGAAGUCACUCUCGCUGACCACCUGGCUGCAGGCCCCUGGGCCCUGGGAAGGCUUGGGGAGCUGCCAGGGUGGGAGAAGGGGAUGCUCGGAGCCAUGAGACUGCCUCACGGGAAGCACAGAAAGGAGCAAGAAGCAAGCGGCGCUCCAGAUACACAAGACAUGUGCUUCUUGUCCCACCUGCCUCUCCCUGGAAGGAAGGCAGGGCGCGGGGGAAACCUGGGAAGAUCUGAGCGGCAGGAGAGGGGCGUGCUCCAGAGGGACACAGUGAGGCAGGGGUAGCAGUGUGUGGGGCCUCACCAUCUCCGGGAGUGUUGGAGAGCUGCAGGUCCCAGGAAGGAGAGCGAGUUUGCUUCUCCUGCUCACCCCCGCCUGGGUGGAGGUGCUAUUGGGAAGGCUGGCAGCUUCUGCACUGGACCAGAGCAGAACCUCUGGAAGGAGGAUGCAGGUCUCCAGGGUCCCCAUUCCAUCUGGAAUUGGAGCCUGGAUCAAUUUCUGGACCAUCUUUUCAGCUGUAGCCAGUCCUCUGGGUCACCAGCAAGAGCAGGACCACCAUGGCUGGGUCUCCCUGCAGGAAAACAUCUUCAAGCCUGAUGUCUUGGACCAGGCAUGGGGGUUCUCAGGGUCUAUGCUUAAGAUCCAUUCUCAGGAUCCAUUCUUGGGGUUCUCAGGAUCCAUUCACAGGAUCUAUUCUCAGGAUCCAUUCUUGGGGUCCAUUCUCAGGGUCCAUUCUUGGGGCCCAUUCUCAGGAUCCAUUCUCAGGGGCUUGGCCUGACUGUAGUCUGCAGCCAACAUGGCCCCUUAGAAGUGAUACCUUCCCAUUUGGUCCUUAUUACCUUUUCCGAAGCAUUUUAAAUGAAAAGAGCAGCUUUAGGCUCUGUGGACCAGCACAGCUAUCCCUGACACUUUCCACCUUUCAAGUUCAGCAGUGAGCCCGGGGCCUUCCCUGGAGCUGACGGGGUUCCCAGGGCAGACAGGACACAGCUGGAGGCCCCAGCGCCUCCUGUCCGGGCUCAGAGACUUUGGAUGUGGCCUAACCAGGGCCUCUGAACCCUUUCCUUGGAUGGAAUUCUCCUGGCCAUGGAACCAUGAGGAACUCGACUCCCCAGAGCAGCAAGUGGAGGACUGCCCCUAGACAGAGCUCCCUGAGGUCACUCUGGAGCCUUGGCCUCCAACACUGCCUCCCCAGACUCCUGGGCCCCCCAAACCAGCUGGAAAGGCCUGCAAGCUCAGUUCUGCAGAAAGGGCCGUCUCUGAAGGAACCUGGAGGAGGCCCACAGAAGAACCACCAUCACCCUCCUCCCAGGCCCUGCUACCCAGCUCCCCUUCCAGUCUGCACAGAGCCCCCCACCCUGGACCCCCCCAAUGGCCCUCCGAAGUCCACUUCACCCUUCUUUCUGUUUUCUGUACUCAUGGUUGACUUGGCAAGGCCCCUGCCCCGGGGCCAUCCACAGCCAGCGGGGCAAGGACACAGCCUGCUCCCACCAGGAUGAGGCUGAGAACUCGUCCCUCCUCCUUCCAGGGACAGCGGUGCCAGUACAGAUGGCACCUUCCAGGAAUCAGAACUGCCACUCUGGGGGCAGCUCCUAAGGACCGAGUUACCUCACUGUCCUUCCCAGCGGAGCUUGAGGAAGGCGGAGACCAGGGGUCAACCUUCCAACUUGAAAUUCAGAAAAUAGUUGAAUUAAAGUGUUUUCCUGUUUAUGCACCUCAGCAGCUACACUGCCCUUCGCACCCAAGCACAAUUCACAGCUCCCCGAGGAAGGUCCUGGCUGGUCAUGGCUGGUGCCCACCCUGGACUUAAGUCCUAGAGAAAUGACUGGAGGGUCCAAGGGGUCAGAAUCACCAUCCUGGCCCACUGCCCAGGGAAGGGAAGGCAAACUAAAGGAGGAGAGAAGGAAGGGACGAGCAGGAGAAGGGCACCCAGGUGGGCAUCUGAACCUGCUAGGUGCCUUGACACGCUUUCACUCCUUGUUAAUUCAUACUGCCACCCUGAGGGGACGCAGGUGCCCAAUGCUGGGUGGACCAAUUCCCGCAACAGAGCCUGCCCACAAGGAGCAGGGAAGGCAGAAGGCAGAAGACAGCAGGAAGGACAGGAGGAAGACAGAGCCCAGUGGACACGCUUGAGGAGACAGUUCAGAGGUAGCCGUGAGGAGAACCACCAAAUCCAUGGCCCUCUCUCCAGAGGAGACAAAGCUGCUGGGACUUGCCUGUGGACUGUGUGGCAUGGUGCCCGUGUGGCAGAGCCUGCCAGAGCCCCCACAGAUGGGGCCAUGAGCCUGGCCACUGUCCUGAGGUUCGUGGCCUUGCUGGUGCUGCGUGUUUUGAGCCACGGUUUUUCUGCUCACUGUCACAGAGGAGGCUCUCUGUGCCAUCGAGGACCAAAUGCAUGGAACCUUCCAGAAAAUGAUGCCUUUGCGUGUCACAGUGUGGCAGGACUGGACUUGCUAUGGGGACAGCCAGGUGCGUGUUCCUGACCAGUCUCUCCGAGGAUGUAUCUUUCUCCCAUCUGCAUCUGAAAGCCUAGAAGAACUUGUGGAUCUGUGACGCAACCUCCUGUGGCAUCUCUGGCUGUCCUGCUAGCCGAUCCUCAGGAGAGACACUGAAAACGAAGAGACACCGCCCUUCUGUUAAAAAAUAGAUGAACACGGCCUUACAUUGUUCAUUCAGACAUCUUCAUUCUCUGAAAAUAAAUGCACAGUUGUCUUGAA